GACAGAGGGUGCAAACGUUGUUCGGAUUUACUGGGCGUAAAGCGCGUGUAGGCGGCUUUGCAAGUCGGAUGUGAAAGCCCACGGCUCAACCGUGGAAGUGCAUCCGAAACUGCAUGGCUCGAGUCUCGGAGAGGAAGGUGGAAUGCUUGGUGUAGAGGUGAAAUUCGUAGAUAUCAAGCAGAACACCUGCGGCGAAGGCGGCCCUCUGGACGAUGACUGACGCUGAGACGCGAAAGCGUGGGGAGCAAACAGG
rnacentral:rRNA from 1 species